CCUACGGGCGGCUGCAGUGAGGAAUAUUGGUCAAUGGACGAGAGUCUGAACCAGCCAAGUAGCGUGAAGGAUGACUGCUCUAUGGGUUGUAAACUUCUUUUAUAUGGGAGUAAAAUGUUCCACGUGUGUGAUUUUGUAUGUACCAUAUGAAUUAGGAUCGGCUAACUCCGUGCCAGCAGCCGCGGUAAUACGGAGGAUGCGAGCGUUAUCCGGAUUUGUUGGGUUUAAAGGGAGCGUAGGUGGAUUGUUAAGUCAGUUGUGAAAGUUUGCGGCUCAACCGUAGAAUUGCAGUUGAAACUGGCAGUCUUGAGUACAGUAGAGGUAGGCGGAAUUCGGGGUGUAGCGGUGAAAUGCUUAGAUAUCACGAAGAACUCCGAUUGCGAAGGCAGUUCACUGGACUGCAACUGACAGUGAGGCUCGAAAGUGUGGGUAUCAAACAGGAUUAGAUACCCGUGUAGUC
rnacentral:rRNA from 1 species